AGAUAUUUAAUGUUUGCUUUUAAUUUAAUAAUUUCAGCCAUCACCAUCUGAUACAGCUGGCAGUGAGGACACCAUUGACGUGUUAGAUGACAGCCAAAGC